rnacentral:rRNA from 1 species
GUGAGGAAUAUUGGUCAAUGGUCGGAAGACUGAACCAGCCAAGCCGCGUGGAGGAAGAAGGCGCUAAGCGUCGUAAACUUCUUUUGUCGGGGAACAAAAUCCGGUACGCGUACCGGACCGAGCGUACCCGAAGAAAAAGCAUCGGCUAACUCCGUGCCAGCAGCCGCGGUAAUACGGAGGAUGCGAGCGUUAUCCGGAUUUAUUGGGUUUAAAGGGUGCGUAGGCGGCGUGUUAAGUCAGCGGUAAAAGACCGGCGCUCAACGCCGGCAAGCCGUUGAAACUGGCAUGCUUGAGUUGGAGAGAAGUAUGCGGAAUGCGCGGUGUAGCGGUGAAAUGCAUAGAUAUCGCGCAGAACUCCGAUUGCGAAGGCAGCAUACCGGCUCCACACUGACGCUGAGGCACGAAAGCGUGGGGAUCAAACAGGA